GAGUUUGAUCAUGGCUCAGAUUGAACGCUGGCGGCAUGCCUUACACAUGCAAGUCGAACGGCAGCACGGGAGCUUGCUCCUGGUGGCGAGUGGCGAACGGGUGAGUAAUGCAUCGGAACGUAUCCUGGAGUGGGGGAUAACGUAGCGAAAGUUACGCUAAUACCGCAUAUUCUGUGAGCAGGAAAGCGGGGGACCUUCGGGCCUCGCGCUCUUGGAGCGGCCGAUGUCGGAUUAGCUAGUUGGUGAGGUAAAGGCUCACCAAGGCGACGAUCCGUAGCAGGUCUGAGAGGAUGAUCUGCCACACUGGAACUGAGACACGGUCCAGACUCCUACGGGAGGCAGCAGUGGGGAAUUUUGGGACAAUGGGGGCAACCCUGAUCCAGCCAUGCCGCGUGAGUGAAG
rnacentral:rRNA from 1 species